rnacentral:rRNA from 1 species
GAUGAACGCUGGCGGCGUGCCUAAUACAUGCAAGUCGAGCGAACAGACGAGGAGCUUGCUCCUUUGACGUUAGCGGCGGACGGGUGAGUAACACGUAGGUAACCUACCUAUAAGACUGGGAUAACUUCGGGAAACCGGAGCUAAUACCGGAUAAUAUUUCGAACCGCAUGGUUCGAUAGUGAAAGAUGGCUUUGCUAUCACUUAUAGAUGGACCUGCGCCGUAUUAGCUAGUUGGUAAGGUAACGGCUUACCAAGGCAACGAUACGUAGCCGACCUGAGAGGGUGAUCGGCCACACUGGAACUGAGACACGGUCCAGACUCCUACGGGAGGCAGCAGUCGGGAAGCUUCCGCAAUGGGCGAAAGCCUGACGGAGCAACGCCGCGUGAGUGAUGAAGGUCUUCGGAUCGUAAAACUCUGUUAUUAGGGAAGAACAAACGUGUAAGUAACUGUGCACGUCUUGACGGUACCGAAUCAGAAAGCCACGGCUAACUACGUG